rnacentral:rRNA from 1 species
ACUGGAAGUGAAUCUGGUUUCAGAAUUUAAUUAAAUAUUGUUUUCAUUUACAUUGAAAAAUUUUUUGUGCAAGUCAAGGUGUUCUGAGUAUAUUUAUCUAAUUUUUUUUAGUUGUUUUUAUAUAUUUUUUUUUAAAAUUUUUUGUUUUGUGGGGGCUUAGUAAUUUAUUUUGAAUUGCUUUUUUUUAUUAUAGUGGAUUUUUAAUGUAAAUGGGGGGUUUUUUAUAGGGUUAAAGAAUUUUUUUAUAUUUUACCUUUUGUAUCAGGGUUUAUUAAGUAAAUUUUUAUUAUUAAGUUUUCCCGAAUUAGUAGGAUUUAUUUUAAUAGGGGGUUUAAUGUUUCAUGAUUAUUUUUAAUAUUAAGGUGGUAGUGAGAUGCUAUUCGUCUAUUAAUAUAUCUGGUUUCCUGAGAUUAAAUUAAAUUUAGCGGGGGUUUUUAAUUUAGUGUUUAUUUAUUGGAUUUUUAAUUUUUUUUUAUUCUUUAGGGGUUAAGCUCUAAAGGGUUUUAUAAUUUUUUUAUAUGGGAUUUUUUGUAGGCUUGAUAAUAGUCAUUAUUUUAAGUAUAUUGUAGUUUAUUUUCGUUUGUUUUUGAUUUAUUAAUUAUUUAAGUGUUUUAUUGGGAUGUAGACUGUAAUUUUUGUUGUUGAUUGAUAAUGAUUGAAUUAGUAUAUUUUAUGUUAGCAAUGUUUUUGUUGGUAUUUUGGUUAAAGGAAUUCGGCAAGUUUUUAGUAUUUCCGACUGUUUAUCAAAAACAUUUUCUGAAGUCUUUAUUUUAGAUAAGGCCUGCUCACUGAGCAAUUAAAGAGCCGCGGUAUUUUGACUGUGCAAAGGUAGCAUAAUCAUUAGUAUAUUAAUUGUAUACUGGAAUGAAAGGUUAAACGAGAAAAAUUCUGUCUCUAGUUAAUAUUUAGAAUUUUAUUUCUCAGUAAAAAAGCUGAGAUAUUUUUUUUGGACGAUAAGACCCUAUAGAGUUUUAUUUAAUGUUUUUUAUAUAAUUUGGGGUUAUUUUAUUUAUUUUUAGAUCUUAAGUUUGAUUGGGGUGAUCUGAGUGAUGUUAAACCACUCAUUUAUUUGUUUCAUUGAUUUUUGUUUGUGUUGAUCUUGUAUUAUUGAUUAAAAGAUUUAAUUACCUUAGGGAUAACAGCACAAUUAUUUUUGAGAGUUCUUAUUGACAAUAUAGAUUGUGACCUCGAUGUUGGAUUAAGAUAGUUUUUGGGUGUAGGUGCUUAUGAGAA